rnacentral:misc_RNA from 1 species
GAUGAAGAACGUAGCGAAAUGCGAUAAGUAAUGCGAAUUGCAGAAUUCAGUGAAUCAUCGAAUCUUUGAACGCACAUUGCGCCCGCUAGUAUUCUGGCGGGCAUGCCUGUCUGAGCGUCAUUUCAACCCUCGCCCCCGGCUUUUGCUGGGAGCGGUGUUGGGGAUCGGCCGCCCGUCACCGGGAGGCCGGCCCCGAAAUAGAGUGGCGACCACGCCGUGUGCUCCUCUGCGUAGUAGUAAAUCACCUCGCAGGCGGACAGCGGUGCGGCCUGCCGUAAAACCCCCAACUCUUUCUGGUUGACCUCAGAUUAGGUAGGAAUACCCGCUGAACUUAAGCAUAUCAAUAAGCGGAGGA